UCAGACCGGAGUAAUCCAGGUCAGUUUCUAUCUAUAUAUGAGUUUCUCCUAGUACGAAAGGACCGAAGAAACACGGCCCAUAUCUUUACAAGCCGUAGCUACUAAAUUAUGAUUUAAACUCAAUAAUAUCGUAGCCCAUAAAUCUACUCAAGACAAGAGUCG
rnacentral:rRNA from 2 species